CGAGUAGCUGGGACUACAGGUGCUCGCCACAAUGCCCGGCUAAUUUUUUUGUACUUUUAGAGACGGGGUUUCACCAUGUUAGCCAGGAUGGUCUCGAUCUCCUGACCUUGUGAUCCUCCUGCCUCGGCCUCCCAAAGUGCUGGGAUUACAAGAGUGACCCACCGCGCCCAGCCUACCCCAUUGGACUUUUAAUAAUUUUUUGUUUGAUUGCCAUUAAUAUACAAAGCCUAAAUAUGGUCUGAUUACCAUAAGUCAUCUGCUUGGAGCGAGGGCAAGGAAUCAAUCUCAUUUGCAGCCAUCAUCAUGAAUCUGCUAUACACUCAGCACAGCAACAUGAAUGCAGCUAGAUGCCAUUAUCUGAAGUGAACUAAUAGAGAAAUAGAAAACCAAAUACCACGUGUUCUUACCUGUAAGUGGGAGCUAAACACUGAGUACAAAUGAACAUUAAAAUGGAAACAGACACUGGGGACUACAAGAAAGGGGAAGGGCAGGAGGGCAAGG
rnacentral:lncRNA from 1 species